ensembl:misc_RNA Metazoa_SRP Metazoan signal recognition particle RNA
GCCAGGCAUGGUGGCUCAUGCCUGUAAUCUCAGCACUUUGAGAGGCUGAGGUGGGUGGAUCACCUGAGGUCAGGAGUUCAAGACCAGCCUGGCCAACAUGGUGAAACCCCAUCUCUA